rnacentral:rRNA from 1 species
GACAGAGGGGGCAAGCGUUGCUCGGAAUUACUGGGCGUAAAGGGCGCGUAGGCGGGAUGGCAAGUCGGUCGUGAAAUCCCUCGGUUCAACCGAGGAACGUCGAUCGAUACUGCUGUUCUUGAGGAUUGCAGAGGAGACUGGAAUUCCCGGUGUAGCGGUGAAAUGUGUAGAGAUCGGGAGGAACACCGGUGGCGAAGGCGGGUCUCUGGGCAAUUCCUGACGCUGAGGCGCGAAAGCGUGGGGAGCAAACGGG